rnacentral:rRNA from 1 species
GAUGAACGCUAGCGGCAGGCUUAACACAUGCAAGUCGAGGGGUAGAAGUUGCUUGCAACUUUGAGACCGGCGCACGGGUGCGUAACGCGUAUGCAAUCUACCUUAUACAGAGGGAUAGCCCAGAGAAAUUUGGAUUAAUACCUCAUAGUAUCUUUGCCUGGCAUCAGGUGAUUAUUAAAGUUCCAACGGUAAAAGAUGAGCAUGCGUCCUAUUAGCUAGAUGGUAAGGUAACGGCUUACCAUGGCAACGAUAGGUAGGGGUCCUGAGAGGGAGAUCCCCCACACUGGUACUGAGACACGGACCAGACUCCUACGGGAGGCAGCAGUGAGGAAUAUUGGACAAUGGGCGCAAGCCUGAUCCAGCCAUGCCGCGUGCAGGAAGAAGCAUCUAUGGUGUGUAAACUGCUUUUGUACGGGAAGAAACACUCCUACGUGUAGGAGCUUGACGGUACCGUAAGAAUAAGGAUCGGCUAACUCCGUGCCAGCCGCCGCCGUAACAC